rnacentral:rRNA from 1 species
GAUGAACGCUGGCGGCGUGCCUAACACAUGCAAGUCGAACGGAGAUUACGGACGGAAGUUUUCGGAUGGAAGACUGUAAUUCUUAGUGGCGGACGGGUGAGUAACGCGUGGGCAACCUGCCCUAUACAGGGGGAUAGCAGCUGGAAACGGCUGGUAAGACCGCAUAAGUCGGUUAAAUCGCAUGAUUUGAUCGGGAAAUGAGCAAUCAGGUAUAGGAUGGGCCCGCGUCCGAUUAGCCAGUGGGCAGGGUAAAAGCCUACCAAAGCGACGAUCGGUAGCCGGACUGAGAGGUCGGACGGCCACAUUGGGACUGAGACACGGCCCAAACUCCUACGGGAGGCAGCAGUGGGGGAUAUUGCACAAUGGAGGAAACUCUGAUGCAGCGACGCCGCGUGAGUGAAGAAGUAUUUCGGUAUGUAAAGCUCUAUCAGCAGGGAAGAUGAUGACGGUACCUGACUAAGAAGCCCCGGCUAACUACGUG